rnacentral:rRNA from 1 species
GACGAACGCUGGCGGCGUGCUUAACACAUGCAAGUCGAACGGUAAGGCCCUUCGGGGUACACGAGUGGCGAACGGGUGAGUAACACGUGGGUGAUCUGCCCUGCACUUCGGGAUAAGCCUGGGAAACUGGGGCUAAUACCGGAUAGGACCACUGCCUGCAUGGGUGGUGGUGGAAAGCUUUUGCGGUGUGGGAUGGGCCUGCGGCCUAUCAGCUUGUUGGGGGGGUGAUGACCUACCAAGGCGACGACGGGUAGCCGGCCUGAGAGGGUGACCUGCCACACUGGGACUGAGAUACGGCCCAGUCUCCUACGGGAGGCAGCAGUGGGUAAUAUUGCACAAUGGGCGCAAGCCUGAUGCAGCGACGCCGCGUGAGGGAUGACGGCCUUCGGGUUGUAAACCUCUUUCAGCACCGGCGAAGCGCAAGUGACGUUAGGUGCAGAAGAAGGACCGGCCAACUACGUGCCAGCAGCCGCGGUAA